rnacentral:rRNA from 1 species
GAUGAACGCUGGCGGCGUGCCUAAUACAUGCCAGUCGAGCGAACAGACGAGGAGCUUGCUCCUCUGACGUUAGCGGCGGACGGGUGAGUAACACGUGGAUAACCUACCUAUAAGACUGGGAUAACUUCGGGAAACCGGAGCUAAUACCGGAUAAUAUAUUGAACCGCAUGGUUCAAUAGUGAAAGACGGUUUUGCUGUCACUUAUAGAUGGAUCCGCGCCGCAUUAGCUAGUUGGUAAGGUAACGGCUUACCAAGGCAACGAUGCGUAGCCGACCUGAGAGGGUGAACGGCCACACUGGAACUGAGACACGGUCCAGACUCCUACGGGAGGCAGCAGUAGGGAAUCUUCCGCAAUGGGCGAAAGCCUGACGGAGCAACGCCGCGUGAGUGAUGAAGGUCUUCGGAUCGUAAAACUCUGUUAUUAGGGAAGAACAAAUGUGUAAGUAACUAUGCACGUCUUGACGGUACCUAAUCAGAAAGCCACGGCUAACUACGUG